CCUACACCCCGAAUAUGACUCCGGAUAUGGAAUGAUGUCAAAUCCAAUAUCAUACUCAUAUUUCUCUCAAUCUUAUAUGAUGAUUCAAUUAAUAAAAUAUUAAAAAAAAAUUCUAAUUUUUAUUCUACUUUGAUCAAAGGCUUCCUAAAUCAUCAAUUGAUCAGAGCAAGUAGGAUACGAUCUCCUCUUACCAAGAGUGAU
rnacentral:lncRNA from 1 species